ACACCGGCGCCUCAAGUGGUACCCGCGAAUAUUGGGACUAAAGCGCCCGUAGCCGGUCCUGUGUGUCUUCUGUGAAAUGAUUGGGCAUAACUCAAUCAAGUGCAGGAGAUACUAUAGGACUUGGGAGCGGGGGAGGCCAAGGGUACGUCUGGGGUAGCGGUAAAAUGCGUUGAGCCCAGACGGACCACCAGCGGCGAAGGCUCUUGGCCAAAACGCGUCCGACGGUGAGGGGCGAAAGCUGGGGGAGCAAAGGGGAUUAGAAACCCUAGUAGUCC
rnacentral:rRNA from 1 species